AGUGGGGAAUAUUGGACAAUGGGCGAAAGCCUGAUCCAGCAAUACCGCGUGUGUGAAGAAGGCCUGAGGGUUGUAAAGCACUUUCAAUAGGAAGGAAUACCUAUCGGUUAAUACCCGGUAGACUGACAUUACCUAUACAAGAAGCACCGGCUAACUCCGUGCCAGCAGCCGCGGUAAUACGGAGGGUGCAAGCGUUAAUCGGAAUUACUGGGCGUAAAGCGUGCGUAGGCGGUUGUUUAAGUCAGAUGUGAAAGCCCUGGGCUUAACCUGGGAACUGCAUUUGAUACUGGGCAACUAGAGUUUAGUAGAGGGGAGUGGAAUUUCAGGUGUAGCGGUGAAAUGCGUAGAGAUCUGAAGGAACACCAGUGGCGAAGGCGGCUCCCUGGACUAAAACUGACGCUGAGGUACGAAAGCGUGGGUAGCAAACAGGAUUAGAUACCCUGGUAGUCCACGCCGUAAACGAUGUCAACUAACUGUUGGGUUCUUAAAGAACUUAGUAGUGGAGCUAACGUAUUAAGUUGACCGCCUGGGGAGUACGGCCGCAAGGCUAAAACUCAAAUGAAUUGACGGGGGCCCGCACAAGCGGUGGAGCAUGUGGUUUAAUUCGAUGCAACGCGAAGAACCUUACCUACCCUUGACAUCCAGAGAAUCUGUUAGAGAUAGCGGAGUGCCUUCGGGAGCUCUGAGACAGGUGCUGCAUGGCUGUCGUCAGCUCGUGUUGUGAAAUGUUGGGUUAAGUCCCGUAACGAGCGCAACCCUUAUCCUUAGUUGCCAGCGGGUCAUGCCGGGAACUCUAGGGAGACUGCCGGUGAUAAACCGGAGGAAGGUGGGGACGACGUCAAGUCAUCAUGGCCCUUAUGGGUAGGGCUACACACGUGCUACAAUGGCCGGUACAGAGGGCUGCGAACUCGCGAGAGUAAGCCAAUCCCAAAAAGCCGGUCCCAGUCCGGAUCGCAGUCUGCAACUCGACUGCGUGAAGUCGGAAUCGCUAGUAAUCGCGGAUCAGAAUGCCGCGGUGAAUACGUUCCCGGGCCUUGUACACACCGCCCGUCACACCAUGGGAGUGGGUUGCAAAAGAAGUAGGUAGUUUAACCUUCGGGAGGGCGCUUACCACUUUGUGAUUCAUGACUGGGGUG
rnacentral:rRNA from 1 species